GAUGAACGCUGGCGGCGUGCCUAACACAUGCAAGUCGAACGACCACACAGUGAGCUUUUGCUCUUGCGGUUAGCGAGUGACGGACGGGUGACGCAUGGAUCAGCAUCUUCUUUUUCUUGGGUAAUUACGUGAAGCCGCUUACACUACUACCGCAUAUGUCCUACCGCAUGAUUCAAUAGAUCUACACGGCUUUCCCGUUACUUUUAGCCGGUUUCGCGCCGGAUUAGCUAGUUGGUAAGGUACCGGCUAACCAAGGCGACGAUGCGUAGCUGAGCUGAGAGGAUGAUCAGCCACACUGGAACUGAGACACGGUCCAGACUCCUACGGGAGGCAGCAGUGGGGAAUAUUGGACAAUGGGCGAAAGCCUGAUCGAGCAAUACCGCGUGGGUGAAGAAGGCCUUCGGGUUGUAAAGCCCUUUUGUUGGGAAAGAAAAGAUGUAGGUGUAUACCUGGAUGUUCUGACGGUACCUAAACAAUAAGCAACGGCUAACUUCGUG
rnacentral:rRNA from 1 species